rnacentral:rRNA from 1 species
UACGAAGGUCCCAAGCGUUGCUCGGAAUCAUUGGGCGUAAAGCGCGCGCAGGUGGCUUUGUAAGUCAGGCGUGAAAUCCCGGGGCUCAACCCCGGAAGUGCUUUUGAUACUGCAAAGCUUGAGUGUGGGAGAGGAUGCUAGAAUUCCUGGUGUAGUGGUGAAAUACGUAGAUAUCAGGAGGAACUCCGGUGGCGAAGGCGGGCAUCUGGCCCAACACUGACACUUAGGCUCGAAAGCGUGGGGAGCAAACGGG